AACGCACCUUGCGCCCCUUGGCAUUCCGAGGGGCACGCCUGUUUGAGUGUCGUGAACUCCUCCACCCUCCACCUUUUUCGAAAGGCGUUGGGCUGGGAUUUGGGAGCUUGCGGGUCCCUGGCCGAUCCGCUCUCCUUGAAUACAUUAGCGAAGCCCUUGCGGCCUUGGUGUGAUAGUCAUCUACGCCUCGGUUUAGCGAACAUACGGGAAUCGCUUCCAACCGUCUCGCAAGAGACAAUCACUUCAAACUUGACCUCAAAUCAGGCGGGACUACCCGCUGAACUUAA
rnacentral:misc_RNA from 1 species